GUAUCAAUGAGCGGAGGAAAAGAAACCAACAGGGAUUGCCCUAGUAACGGCGAGUGAAGCGGCAACAGCUCAAAUUUGAAAUCUGGCGCAAGCCCGAGUUGUAAUUUGUAGAGGAUGCUUCGAGGCAGCGGCCGGUCUAAGUUUCUUGGAACAGGACGUCAUAGAGGGUGAGAAUCCCGUAUGCGACUGGCUGGCACCUCACACGUAGCUCCUUCGACGAGUCGAGUUGUUUGGGAAUGCAGCUCUAAAUGGGAGGUAAAUUUCUUCUAAAGCUAAAUACCGGCCAGAGACCGAUAGCGCACAAGUA
rnacentral:rRNA from 1 species